UUGAGAUAGUAGGUUUAUUGUUGGUCCAAGCAAAUGGUAGCUUUGAUGUUUUCACGAGGAACCUAGUUCUUUGUGGUAGAGGGUGAUCAUGAGUAUCUGCAAUGGUUGCAAUAAUGGGUGGGAUGCAUUAACAAUGCGAGCAGCAUCUCCCAUGUAUAUCAUGAAAGUUGAAAAUGGUUCAUGAGUUUUAUUAUAGGAGGAUCAUUCGAUCAGAAAUGGCUUGUUGUAUAACCAAUAUCCUAGUUUAUAUAACAUUUAAAUAUAAAGCAUCCAUCUCAGAGUUUGUUCUGCUCACCAAUGAAACUGUUGCCUGGGAAUUACACUUUUUUAGAUGCCUUUUUAAUAGGAGGACCAGGACUUGUCAACCCUGUUAAACAUGCUUGAGAUUUUAUCAGUCUUCCCUGCAACUUUACUGCGUUCUUAGACCCUAGAACCAUUCAGCAUAUAUACCUGCAGAUCCUUCUAUCAACAUAUCAUCUAGGACACUAAUUAUUAUCAAUUGCCUUUGGUUAAUGUGUUUUGGAAAGUUUAGGUUCCUUGAAAGAUUAAGGUGUUUACCUAUCUGUGACCCUUAAGAGACUCAAUGCUAAUGAGAUGUUGUAAAUGCAUAGACUGAAUCAAGCUCUUUCUCCUAAUGUUUGUCCUAUGUGUAGAUGCGAGAGCGAGACACAUACUUACUUUUUUUUUUCACCGUGAUACAACAUGGAGAUUGUGUGCUAGAUUGUUUGGAAUGUUUGGAUUGACUUGGAUUUCUCCACCAUCCGUUGAGUGCGAUAGAGAUACAACUAUACAGGAAAUUGGAGUGAGGAAGCCCCCCCAACCCCUUUGACAAGGGCUUUUCUUACAGGCUUGUGGGUAGCAAUUGAAGAAUUCUUGAGGACAAUUUGACCUCUAGUGGGAUGGUUUGUGCAUUUAUUUUUGCAUUUCUUUGUGCUUGAUUUAUUGUUCUUGAGCCCUAUUACAAGACAUUAGGAGGAUGAUGUAUUCUUCGAAUUUAUAAUU
rnacentral:lncRNA from 1 species